rnacentral:rRNA from 1 species
AUUGAACGCUGGCGGAAUGCUUUACACAUGCAAGUCGAACGGCAGCACGGGAGCUUGCUCCUGGUGGCGAGUGGCGAACGGGUGAGUAAUGCGUCGGAACGUACCGAGUAAUGGGGGAUAACGCAGCGAAAGCUGUGCUAAUACCGCAUACGCCCUGAGGGGGAAAGUGGGGGAUCGCAAGACCUCACGUUAUUCGAGCGGCCGACGUCUGAUUAGCUAGUUGGUGGGUAAAGGCCGUACCAAGGCGACGAUCAGUAGCGGGUCUGAGAGGAUGAUCCGCCACACUGGAACUGAGACACGGUCCACGACUCCUACCGGGAGGCGAGCAGUGGGGAAUUUUGGGACAAUGGGGGCAACCCUGACUCCAGCCAUUCCGCGUGAGUGAAGAAGGCCUCGGUUGUAAG